AAGUUGGGGAACAUCUACCCGCUGUGGUUAUUCAGCCAUGGUACAGAUACUUGGAAUCAUUCUUCAGCAUGGAAAUCUUUAUAGGUUUAUAGAUUGGGACAUUGUGUGGAAAAAGCUAAAAGUAGAGAUGGGUAACUUGGGACUGCUAAAGCUUAUGAUAGGUAAGUAGUAUUAAUAUGCUACAACGUGACAAUACAAAUUUUUUAGCCUGUGUAACCAGGCCACUGUAGUGCUUCAGUCUUGGCAGGGUUACAUAAUAUCCUGUUUCUUUUGCUUGGUAUGUAAGGGAAUAGUGGGCAAAUUCAGUUUUGUAUACAAUCUUCAGCACUGGCAUCUUUGUUUUCAUAGGUUGGGUCCUGGUGUAAGAAAGAUUUAGGGCUGGACGGAUGGAGCUUGUUAUUUAACAGGUAAGUGAAAAAAUAGGUGUGCUAAGAAAAAAAUUUCUUCAGCAUGUGCAUCUUUGUUUUACAGGUUUUCCUGGAUUGGGUGAUGUCUAACCACCAUGGUGUUUUAUCUUUUGCAGUUUAUUUGGAAUCUUAUUUCUUGUUGGUAGGUAUGGAUGGACAAACUCAGUUUGUUUUUGUAUUUUUCAGCAUGGACAUUUUACAGAUUUGAACUCUGCAUCUAUUCCAUGACUACUUAAGACUGAUAACAUUGGGCUGCUGAACCAUGCAAACAGAUGAGUAGGAAAAAGAGUGAAUGAAAAAUGGAGUGAUUCUUUUAACUAGGCAUUGAUUUGUUUUUACAGGAGACGCCUAGCCACUGUGGUACAUCGGCCUUGAAAUUUAAUUUGGGAUUUUUUUUUCUUUUGGUAAGUAUGAGUGGAUAAUGGGCAAAUUCCAUUUUUUGUAUUCAUUUUUUAGCCUGGGCAUCUUUGUUUUUACAGGUUGGGUCCUUGUGUAGGAAAGGAUAAGAGCCAGGGACAAGUGACCUGGGAUUGUUGUAAACUUUGAUUUAAUAGGUGACUAGAUUAAUCCACUUGUCUUAAAUGGGGAAAAAAAUAAGGAAUGCUGGCAGGUAUCUUUGUACUGCUGAAGCUUGCAAUAAGUGAAUAGAAGAAUUGGUGUGCAUGGAUAAUUGUGAUAAUUCAGCCUGGUCAAUUUUGUUUUCUUGUUUUAAAGACUUCAAAUCUUCUAAUAACCAAUCUACUUAUCUGCUGAAGAAUGGCUUUGUGUUCAUAGAUAAUAGUGAUUCUUCAGCCUUGGACGUCUUUGUUUUAUAGGUUGGAACCUUGUGUAUAAAAGGCUAGGAGUGGAGGUAGGUAAUUUAGGACUACUGCAGCUUAUGAUCUGUAAGUAAAGAAAGAUGGUCAUGGAUUAUAGUGAUUCUUAAGCCUGGGCAACCAUUUGUUUUAACAGGUAGCUAGUUCGGGAAGUAUCUUGCCUCUAUGGUACUUUAAUUUUGGCAGGGGUUACUUUGAAUCCUUUGUUUUAGUAAGUAUAUGAGCGGAUGCAAAAAAAAUGCUAUUUUGGCAUUAUCAUUCUUUAGUCUGGGCAUCUUUCUUUUAUAGGUUGGUUUCUGGUAUACGAAAGGAGGCAGAUGACUUGGGACUGCUGAAGCUUGUGGUCAACAGGUGAGCAGAGGAAAAAGUGUAAAUGAAUAAAGAUAAUGGAAUAAAAACAAAAUCUCUAUUUGUUUCUACAGGUGUUCCUAUUUUUGGCAUUGUCUAGCCACUGUGGUACCUCAGCCAUGGCAGUGGCGGGCUUAUUUGGAAUCCUGCUUCUUUUGGUAGGUAUAUGAGUGGAUGGGCUAACUGAGUUUGGCGUUAUUAUUAUUCAGCAAAGAUCUUUGUUUUCCAGAUUGGGACAUUGUGUGGAAAUGGCUAGUAGUAGAGGCAGGUAAUUUAGUACUACAGAAGCUUGUAAUAGGUGAGUAGUAGAAUUGAUGUGCAUGGAUUAUAAUGAUUUGUCAGCCUUGGGUUUCUUUUUACAGGUUGGCACAUUGUGUUUAAAAGGCUAGGAGUAGAGAAAGGUAACUUGGGAUUGCAGAAGCAUAUGCUAGUUAAAUAGAAUAAUAAAUGUGCAUGGAUAAUAUGAAUUAUUUAGCCUGGCCAUCCAUUUUGUUUUUACAGACAUCCAGCCACUGUGGUGCUUCUGUCUUGGCGGGGGUGCUUGAUAUCCUGUUUCUUUUACUGGGUAGUUUUUGUUUUCAAUAUUCAGCUCUGGCAUCCAUGUUUUUAAAGGUUGGGUUGUGGUGUAAGAAAGGAUUGAAGAUGAUGGCAGAUCUGGGACUGCUGGAAAGUGUGCUAAGUAAAAUGUCUCUUCAGUAUGUGCGUCUUUGUUUUACAGGUUUUCCUGGCCCAGGAAAGGUCUAGCCCCCAUGGAUUUUAAGCCUUUGCAGUUUAUUUGGAAUCUUAUUUCUUGUGGGAUUGGCCCUAGUUUGGGAAAAGUCUAUCCAUAAAGGACACUUCAGCUUUGUGAAAUUUGGUCUGUAUGUUUUCCAGUUGGGACCUGGUUUGGGAAAAGUCUAAGCCGUACAGCCAUUUUCUUCUUUGAUGCCCUACCAACUCAGCACCCAAGGUGGCAACUCUUUCCUGCUCCAAACACAUUAAGUGGAAGAGAAACUUGACUGAAUUUUCACUGUGCCAUGAUGUGUCCAUUUGGAUUUAAUAUUUGUAUUAGGAUUGUAAAAUGUUUUUUAUUUAAUGUGUUUUGAUUAACUUUCAAGUAAAUGUAUUUUUUCAAUACCAACAUUGCCUCCAGCAGCAAGUUAAGUCUGAAUACUUUUGUCCAUUAGACAUAUUGAUAUAUCCUAUAAAGCAUUCCUAGACUAAUGACUACCUUUAAAACUAACAUCAUCCAUGUUAUAAGUUUACUUCUGGGUUUAAUAGUCACAUUCACUAGUAACCCCUUUGGGAAAGUUAAAAAA